rnacentral:sRNA from 2 species
UUAUUUAUUCAGCUUAAUUUCCCAAAAGGAAAACGGGGGACCCAUUUGUGGGGUGAAUCGCGAAAAGCGUAGAGCAGGCGCUCGAACCCGUCAGCUAACCUCGUAAGCGUUGGAACACGUUUAA